UCAGCUAUUGUUCCCAGUUCAACACAACCCACUUUCCGAUUCCCUCAGAAUCACCAAGAAGAUUCGAAGAGAUGACCCCAACUGAUCUGAUUUGGUUCUCAAAAACUACAUGCUCCAUGGUUUCCAUGUGUACUAAUAAGGUUGGACUUCUCUAUAUAACUCUCCUGGACUUCUGGUGUUUAAAUUAUGACGCUUGGUGAUUUGGGAUGUGCAUGACAAAGAGAGUUGCGUAGAACGUACUAACUAUCAUGGGGGUGGUCAGGAGUUGAAUCCCCAGACCGGUGAACAAUUUAGAAGAUCUUCGCUCACUUGAUGUAUAUUUUAUGAUAAUUAUGAGUUAUUAGCUGUAACUUUCUCCUUAAUGAUAAACCACUUGAUCUCCGGAGAGUUUUCACUUCUC